AUGCACCGAACAGCUUUCAUUAGUCUCAGUCGUUCUGUUAAAACUAAUCACAGCAAAACGACAAACCCCUCGCCAAGUUCCGUCUCGCCUGGUCUCUCCUCUCCUCGCUUCGCUUCUCCUCUCCUCUUCUCCUCGCCUCGCUUCGCUUCUCUCCUCUUCCUCGUCUUCUCUUCUCCUCGCCUGUCCUCUCUUCUCUCCUCUCCUCUUCUCUUCUCGUCUUCUCGCCUGGCCUCGCUUCUCUCCUCUUUUCUCCUCGCCUGGUCUCUCCUCUCUCCUCUUCUCUUCUCUUGGCCUCGCUUCUCUCUUCUCGCCUGGCCUCGCUUCUCUCGUCUUCUCUUCUCGCCUGGCCUCGCUUCUCUCCUCUCUCCUCUUCUCUUCUCCUCGCCUGGCCUCGCUUCUCUCCUCUUCUCUUCUCCUCGCCUGGCCUCGCUUCUCUCCUCUUCUCUUGGCCUCGCUUCUCUCCUCUCGUCUUCUCUUCUCCUCGCCUGGCCUCGCUUCUCUCCUCUUCUCUCCUCUUCUUUUCUCGCUUCUCUCCUCUUCUCUAUUCUCUUCUCCUCGCCUAGCCUCGCUUCUCUCCUCUUCUUUUCUCGCUUCUCUCCUCUUCUCUCUUCUCUUCUCCUCGCCUGGCCUCGCUUCUCUCCUCUUCUCUUCUCCUCGCCUGGCCUCGCUUCUCUCCUCUUCUCUUGGCCUCGUUUCUCUCCUCUCGUCUUCUCUUCUCCUCGCCUGGCCUCGCUUCUCUCCUCUUCUCUCUUCUCUCCUCUUCUUUUCUCGCUUCUCUCCUCUUCUCUCUUCUCUCCUCUUCUUUUCUCGCUUCUCUCCUCUUCUCUCUUCUCUUCUCCUCGCCUAGCCUCGCUUCUCUCCUCUUCUUUUUUCGCUUCUCUCUUCUCUUCUCCUCGCCUGGCCUCGCUUCUCUCCUCUCCUCUCUUCUCGCUUCUCUCCUCUUCUCUCUUCUCUUCUCCUCGCCUGGCCUCGCUUCUCUCCUCUCCCGCUACAAGUUUGUGCUGUUUUCAAAACACUUGCGAGUCACUUCCAAACCAAACCUUAAACCCUACGCUCUUCCCCUCGGUGUGCGAUCGCCGUGUAAGCACAGCAACAACCCCUGGAUUAAACAGCGCUUAUCGUCUCGUCUUGAAAAAGCAGCAACGUCUGUUUAGAUUCGAACACUUGGUUGUAAACCUUUGGGUAAUCAGUUGA
ensembl:lncRNA